UAUCUGUUUUAAUUCCAACUGAUCUUACAAUGAUCUUAUUGAAAUGUAAUUCUAAAACUUAAAAUUAACAUAGUUGAAACAUAGUUUAAACAAAUACAUAACGGAGCAGCAAACAAUAAUUUUUAAAACACAAAUACAAACAAUACGGAUCGCAAAUGAAUGGUGAGAUUACAUAACAUUUUAUGAACUAUGCUAUUUUUCUAUGGUUCCAGUAUACCAAUGAUCACGUUUCUCACAAAUGAUUGUGAAACUCCCUGAAAUAAAUUCCAGCAGGCCAAGUCGAUGGUAACAGAGCAGUUUGCUUAAAACAAGCCUUAAUCCCAACUUUGAAGGAAACGUACGACAUUGACGAAGGAUGUUUCCAUACAGGAAUAAGCAGUUUGACUACAGCAGAGACAUUCGGACCUAGAGAAUCUUCAACCAUCUUGGCUAUAUCGUGUUCUGUAACGUGGUUCUUCAGCCUCGUAAAGAAAAGCCAACACUUUUCAUCCAACACAUCGGGAACAACGGUGGCAUUUGAAUUUGUAGCAUUUUUUGUUCCACAUAGCAGUUUUGGUGACGUCAUCGGGGAAGACUGGGCAGCGGGCGGAUCAGUAUUGAAGCUUCGAAGAGAUUGCAUUUCUGUUGCAGUUUCGUUGAAAGUGACAUUCCUAAGGGUAUCCUGUAUGGCAGCAAUUUGUUUCUUCAUUUCCAAAAUUUCAUCGUCAUUGGACAACUUUUCUUUCACUGCAUCUGGUCGAGGGUUCACCUGAAUAUUGGCGUCUUUCUUCGGUAUCCCUUCAAUUCGUCUUUACUGAGGCUGACACACUUGAUGUGAUACACUUUGCCGCAGAAACCUUCGCAAGCGAUACAAUCAUCGCCUCGGACGAUUGAAGAGGAGCAUUGUUUGCAGAUCGUCGGUGUGUUACCAGUUUCUCUCAUAUCCAUCCUGAACCAUGGGCAGCAAUAACAACAAUACAACAAUCAGCGUUCGUAAUCGGUGGGGUAUAAUUUCAAUCUAGUUUUUACGGUAGUCACUAUACGAUAUUGAAAAAUUGACUUUUGAUAAAUGUAGAUAUCGCAGUACAAUGGCUUAAUCCGCGAAAAGGCGUCGAUUUUGCUCCUUCA